rnacentral:rRNA from 1 species
CCUACGGGGGGCACCAGUGGGGAAUAUUGCACAAUGGGCGCAAGCCUGAUGCAGCCAUGCCGCGUGUAUGAAGAAGGCCUUCGGGUUGUAAAGUACUUUCGGCGAGGAGGAAGGCGAUAAGGUUAAUAACCUUGUCGAUUGACGUUACUCGCAGAAGAAGCACCGGCUAACUCCGUGCCAGCAGCCGCUGUAAUACGGAGGGUGCAAGCGUUAAUCGGAAUUACUGGGCGUAAAGCGCACGCAGGCGGUCUGUCAAGUCGGAUGUGAAAUCCCCGGGCUCAACCUGGGAACUGCAUUCGAAACUGGCAGGCUAGAGUCUUGUAGAGGGGGGUAGAAUUCCAGGUGUAGCGGUGAAAUGCGUGGAGAUCUGGAGGAAUACCGGUGGCGAAGGCGGCCCCCUGGACAAAGACUGACGCUCAGGUGCGAGAGCGUGGGGAGCAAACAGGAUUAGAUACCCGUGUAGUC